CAAACAGCCCUUUUUCUCCUUCAACCAACAGCCCUAACCAAACCACCAAUUCAACCAUCGCCGCCACCCCACCCCACCCCACAUCACGUCACGUCGUCUCACCACCACCACACCCGUCGGACCACCGUAUAAAGAAUAGACACCAUCUCCCAUUAACCCCAGUCCGUUUUCUUCAAGUGACAGAGCUUCGAACAGCUCGUCCAAGUCGAAUCAACCCCCCAAAUCGAAAAAACACGCAAGGAUCUUUGGGUUUCUAGGCAGAUCUUCCAACAAUCCAUAGGUUAAAGGCUCGUUCCAAUCCGUUGGGGCCUAAAACCAUGGAAAAACCAUUAGAUUCGGACUUCUAGCUUUCACUUCACCUCUGGAAAAAAAAUAGGGUGAGAACCGUCACUUUUCUUCAUCAUCUUUUUUGAAAUCUCAGAAUUUUCCCUCCCUUUAAUCCGAAUUUCCAAGGCAAAAGAACAAGCUGUUGAAACACCCAACCUUCGGCUAUAAAUACUGGCCAUUGAGGGCUGUUUUAAACAAGGUUGAACAACCACAAAAAAACCCCUUUUAUUUUCAUAAACUUUCCCCUCUCGAAAAUUCCUUUUGCUAAAACUCGAAUUCUCAGAAAAUUCUAUUUUUUAACUCUAAGUUCUUUUGGCUGUAUAAUUUUGGUUGUUCUCGGCUGAGCAAGGAUCACUUCGAGCGGAUUCGAAGACUCGACGACGAUAAUAGCCUCAGUUCGCUGUCACGGAGAAGGAACCUUGGGAGCAUUUGGAGUUAUGGCAACUCCAGAUUCUGCCCAUAUCAGAGAACAGCCAGUUGCAAGAUUUAAUUGCUCGUGUCUAGCCGUCCCCUACUUUCGCAUCUCGAGUUUCCGCUCUUCCUUUAUUCAAAAUUUUAAGCCUUCAUAUUGUUUGAUACGUGCUAUUUAUAUUAUUUGACUAACACUCUUGUGAAUUUGUAUUUUUGUAGUUUUGUUUUGAAUUCGUAACUUGACUUAAGUAUGUUAGUAAGUUUAGUUAUUAUCUUCCCUA